rnacentral:lncRNA from 1 species
GUGUGUGCAUGUGUGUACCAGGCACAUGUGCAGCCGCACAUGUGUGUUGCAUGUGGGUGUGUGCACCAUGCACAUGAGUACAUGUGUGUGCGUGUGUGUAUGCAUGUAUGUGACUGUGUGUGUGUGUGCAUGUGCCCAUUAGGGCCUGGGGCAAGUUUGCCUCCCAGCCACGCCUGACGAACCCCAGUCUGGAAAACUCUGGAUGUCCACAGAUCCUUCCAAACCAGCACUGGCCCCUUCGAGGGGCUGUGGCCUCAGGCCGGUUUCCACACUGUUCUGGGUCUCGGUUUCCCGUGUGCCAUCCACCUGCCGAUGCGGCACGGGGCGCGGGAGGGAGCAGCAGGCAAUGCCCCCCCUUAUCUCACCCUUACCCACAGACAUGAGGUCAGGGCCGGAGACAGCGGAGGGUCAGGGAGUGGUCAGAGGUCGCUGUCCUUUUGUUGGGGGUGGGGGUAAGCUAUGCAGACCCUGACCAGCCUCCGGGGCUGACAAGACAUGUGGGACCCCGAGAACAAAGGAAGAGGGGUGUCUCGCACCCAGAGCAGUGGGGAGGGGGUCGCCCUACCGUGCUCUGGAUCCCAGGGUCCCACCUGGGAGAUGGCCCCAUGCGGGGACACCUGUGCCAGCCCCAGGCCUGUCUCCGAGGCACUCAGAGUCCACUGAUUAUUUGUAUUUGGGUCCUGACACUUGGGUGCAUGACCCCCAGGCCUGUGUCGGGGGCUGGGCCUUGCACAGGUGUCCCCGUGGGUCUCCAUGUGUGACACGGACACACAGGCGGCAGCUCCUGCUUCGUCUGGCCACACCAGCGGCCCCUUUUCCAAAGGUCCCUGACACCUGAGACCAGCUGACAUCCUACCCCUCCAUAUGGGGUCCUCACCCCUGCCCGCAGCAGUCACGAGUGGGCAGCCAGACCGCCAGCCUCCAGUCCAGUCUGCCCCCACCCCCGGCCAGCCUGCAGGGACCGGGAGGGGGCCCGGGUUGCCCCCUCGAGCCAGGGCCACUGUUUAUCUCUGCCGGUGGAGGCACCCCCUGGAGCCUGUUCCCCUCCUGGGGCGCCAGGCCUGAGGGUCUCCGUCCGGGGUGAGCUGGGGCAGGCGCAGGGUGCCCACUCUAUGGUCUACGCCUCCCCCAGCAUGGGGCCCAGCUGCACACAGAAUGAAAAGCAUUUGCUGGAUUCUCCCAAGUAGAAAGCAGUGGAUGAGAGAGAGGUGUAUGUGGGUGCACACACAGAGAGAUCCACACUGAUAAUACACACACAGAGAUAUACACACACAGGUACACACAUAGACACACACAGAGAUACACAGACAGAGAGAUCCACACUGAUAAUACACACACAGAUAUUUAGAUAGACACACACACAGAUCACACAGGUACGCACACAGCCACACACAGGUAUACAGACACAGAGAUACACACAGAGUGAUCUCCACACUGAUAUACACACACAGAUAUACACAC